CUUCAAAUGAGGCUGAUUUAUUUUGCUCUGUCAAGCUCUUACAGGGAGGACAUGUGUCCUUGUGUUCUCAUGUCUGUUUCCUCUGUUCCCUGCUCAAACCCCUGCUCAGCUUUUGAAAUGAUAAUGAGCUUCUACUUUUCUCCCCUGGUUUGCAGGUUUCUAACAGACUGAAUAUUUUGUCUCUCGCUUCAUCAUCGCAGGAAGACGAAUGCCGUGUGCAGUAACUAUUCGACAUCAUCUUGCCUGCCUCCUUGUUCCAACACAGAUAGAUUAGCAGACGGAUGCUGGACAGCCAGGAUUUAUUUUUCACUGCAUGCAAUCAGGCGCGGGACACCAUGUAGGCCAUGCCUGUUUAUUGCAGCUCAAGGUUGACCAUCUCCAAUCCGAAGAUCUGGAAUCUGAAAUGAUCCAUACUCCAAGGCUUUCUAAGGGCCAGCGUGAUGCAACAAGUAGAAAAUUUCAUGUCGUGAAACUUUGUUUCAUGUACAAGAUUAUUUUAACACAUCAUAUAUAAUAUUUAACACAUCAUAUAACCUUCAGGCUAUGUGUAUUGGGUGUACAUAGAACACAAAUAAAUAUCUUGUUUAGAUUUGUGUCCCAUCCUUAAGAUAUUUCAUUAUGAAUAUACAAAUAUGGUAAAAUUUAAAAAUAAUUGAUAUCUGAGGUAUUUCUGGUCCAAAACUUAGUGAACAAGGGAUACUCAACUUGUGCAUUGAACUAAUAACUGAGGGACCUAAACCGAGGCCCUUUGGUCCCUCAGAUGCCCACCUUUCUG
rnacentral:lncRNA from 1 species